rnacentral:rRNA from 1 species
CUACGGAGGGUGCAAGCGUUAAUCGGAAUUACUGGGCGUAAAGCGUACGUAGGCGGUUCGUUAAGUUAGAUGUGAAAGCCCCGGGCUUAACCUGGGAACUGCAUUUAAAACUGGCGAACUAGAGUUGAGUAGAGGGGAGUGGAAUUUCAGGUGUAGCGGUGAAAUGCGUAGAGAUCUGAAGGAACACCAGUGGCGAAGGCGACUCCCUGGACUCGAACUGACGCUGAGGUACGAAAGCGUGGGUAGCAAACGGGAUUAGAAACCCUUGUAGUCC